GUGGGAUCGUAGCACGUGGACCGCAGCGCAGCGCCGUCCAAUCGGCUGGCGCUAUCAUCGCCCCACUAUAGUGCAGUGGCCUUGCUACGUAGACCUGUGUGUGAAAAAUUAAUCAGCAAGGACGUUAAGAGAACUUGAUAUCAUCACGUUGUGGGAUUACCGCAGAGUUCGGAAAUGUUGUAUGUCCAGGAUUUACAUUGCACAGGUGAAAGGGAAGAUUCCGAAUCAAUUACCUGGACCAGUUUGGAGUCAUGGACCUCUCCUGUAUCGCGAAUUUCAAGGUCCUACGAUUGAGGAAAGUCCGACCAUCCGAUCCAUUUGUGAAAUACGUUCGAUUCUAGAUUUGAGAAUUAUUGUAUGUGAAACUUGGAAGAGCUUAAAUAAAAAGAGAAAAUUAUUUUCUAA